rnacentral:rRNA from 1 species
UACGGGGGGGGGCAAGCGUUGUUCGGAAUUACUGGGCGUAAAGGGCUCGUAGGCGGCCAACUAAGUCGGACGUGAAAUCCCUCGGCUUAACCGGGGAACUGCGUCCGAUACUGGAUGGCUAGAGGUUGGGAGAGGGAUGCGGAAUUCCAGGUGUAGCGGUGAAAUGCGUAGAUAUCUGGAGGAACACCGGUGGCGAAGGCGGCAUCCUGGACCGGUAUUGACGCUGAGGCGCGAAAAGCUAGGGGAGCAAACGGG